UGGUGUUUGAGGAAACGACUUGUUCAUU
rnacentral:piRNA from 1 species